rnacentral:misc_RNA from 1 species
AACACUGUUAACCUGCGGUACCUGCGGAAGGAUCAUUAUAGUAUAUGGAAUCUCCAUUCUAUAAACCCACUCUGCGUAUCUUGUAACUGUUGCUUCCAUGGGACUUGGUUCCGCCACACCGGCUUCACGGCUGGUGAGCGCCCAUGGAAGGAGAAACAAAACUCUUCUUUGAAAUGUAGUUAGUCUGAACAAGUUUUUAUAAACGUUAAAACUUUUAGCAAUGGAUCUCAGAUCGGAAGA